ACUUGCCAAAGUUACCUAGCUAAUCAGUGUUAGGGGACUUUUAACCACCAAGCCGUGAACUUCUUGCACAGGCUCAGCAUGCUGAAAAGCCUAUCGAAUGGAAAUCAACAAUGUUUUAGAUCAAAGCUGUUCCAUUUUCCUGGAUCCUAGUGGGGAGCUAACAUGGCGCAGAGCCACAGCCAAUCCAAGGACAUGUGAAUCCUAGAAAAGAGGAGUUCCUCCAAGGCCCUGGAAUCAGAAACUUGGAUUGCCAGGUGAAGGAAACUAGGUUUUGCUUCAUCUGGGUGGUUGGCCAGGAUCCUGAGUGAGAGCCAUGGAUACCUAGUUGCUUUCCAGCUUGGUACCUCCUGACAGCAGGCUUGACACCAGCUACUGUCCAGCUCCCCAGUAAACCAGAUUCCCUCAUUGCUCCUAAUGGGGUCUAGACUGCAGGAGGAGGAAGCAGGUGGGCAAUGUCCAGAUUUCCAUGAUGACCCUC
rnacentral:lncRNA from 10 species